GCCCCGGUAAACGGCGGCCGUAACUAUAACGGUCCUAAGGUAGCGAAAUUCCUUGUCGGGUAAGUUCCGACCUGCACGAAUGGCGUAAUGAUGGCCAGGCUGUCUCCACCCGAGACUCAGUGAAAUUGAACUCGCUGUGAAGAUGCAGUGUACCCGCGGCAAGACGGAAAGACCCCGUGAACCUUUACUAUAGCUUGACACUGAACAUUGAGCCUUGAUGUGUAGGAUAGGUGGGAGGCUUUGAAGUGUGGACGCCAGUCUGCAUGGAGCCGACCUUGAAAUACCACCCUUUAAUGUUUGAUGUUCUAACGUUGGCCCGUAAUCCGGGUUGCGGACAGUGUCUGGUGGGUAGUUUGACUGGGGCGGUCUCCUCCUAAAGAGUAACGGAGGAGCACGAAGGUUGGCUAAUCCUGGUCGGACAUCAGGAGGUUAGUGCAAUGGCAUAAGCCAGCUUGACUGCGAGCGUGACGGCGCGAGCAGGUGCGAAAGCAGGUCAUAGUGAUCCGGUGGUUCUGAAUGGAAGGGCCAUCGCUCAACGGAUAAAAGGUACUCCGGGGAUAACAGGCUGAUACCGCCCAAGAGUUCAUAUCGACGGCGGUGUUUGGCACCUCGAUGUCGGCUCAUCACAUCCUGGGGCUGAAGUAGGUCCCAAGGGUAUGGCUGUUCGCCAUUUAAAGUGGUACGCGAGCUGGGUUUAGAACGUCGUGAGACAGUUCGGUCCCUAUCUGCCGUGGGCGCUGGAGAACUGAGGGGGGCUGCUCCUAGUACGAGAGGACCGGAGUGGACGCAUCACUGGUGUUCGGGUUGUCAUGCCAAUGGCACUGCCCGGUAGCUAAAUGCGGAAGAGAU
rnacentral:rRNA from 1 species